rnacentral:lncRNA from 1 species
CAUCACAAACUAAAUUAGUUGUAUUCAUAUUAUAUACCACUUCUUUCAUUUACUUCUUGAAUUUUGAUCCUUUUUAAUUAUCUUGAUAUAUAUCAUGGGUGUUUUUACUUUCAAUGAUGAACAUGUCUCAACCGUGGCUCCAGCUAAACUCUACAAAGCUCUUGCAAAAGAUGCUGAUGAAAUUGUCCCAAAGGUGAUUUCUGCUGCCCAAAGUGUUGAAAUUGUUGAAGGAAAUGGAGGACCAGGAACCAUUAAGAAGUUAUCCAUUGUUGAAGGUAAUUAAGAUCACAUACUAUGUACAAAUAUAUAAUACUUAACAUCAAAUGAUACAUAGUGUUCGCGUAAAAUUGUUUUGCACCGACAACCGAUCAAUGUUUGUCGGUACAACAAAGAAUUGGGUUACUACCUUUUAUUUGAAAAUUGACAAACAUGAUGUGACAAAUUAAAGAGUUGUAAUUGAUUAAAUGAUACAUAGUUUUAAUAAUUUGAUUAAAUGAUUCACAAAUAAGUUAAGUUAAAUUCAUUAUUACCAAAAAAACAAAGUUAAAUUCAAGUGUAGUAAAAAAAAAAUUAUUCAAUUCUAUUUGGAUAGUCAUUGUAGAAUUUUAAAAUAUAAUCUUGAGAAAUAAAGGAGACAAUACAUAAGCUUGUACCAAGGGCAUGUCUAAUAAUUAUGGACCUUCAAAAAAAAAAUGAUUCAGGUGAUUCAGGACACUUGGUAAAGUUCAAAACGAUCUUUAACCGAAAGAGUUUUUAGUCAAACUAUACUUAUAUUGAAAAAAGAACUAUAUAAAUAAGGAAAAUGUUAACAAGUGUCCUUAAGGUAUUGUUUAAGCAUCCAAAAUUAGUAGUUUUUACUUUGAAAAUUGUGUAAUUAUGACUUGUAUAUAUGUUUGACUUGUAUUUUCAAGACAAACUUUUUUUUUGUGGAUUCCUUUAACAAUGUCCUUAAGACACUUGUUAACAAGACCAUGUAAAUAAUUAUAAUGGUUAUAUUGCAGAUGGCAAAACCAACUUUGUGCUACACAAAUUAGAUGCAGUAGAUGAGGCAAACUAUGGAUAUAACUACAGCUUAGUAGGAGGAACAGGGUUGGAUGAAAGUUUAGAGAAAGUUGAAUUCGAGACAAAUAUUGUUGCUGGGUCUGAUGGUGGAUCCAUUGUUAAGAUUUCAGUGAAAUAUCACACCAAAGGUGAUGCAGUUCUAUCUGAUGCAGUACGUGAGGAGACUAAGGCCAAAGGAACUGGUCUUAUCAAGGCUAUUGAGGGCUACGUCUUGGCAAACCCUAAUUACUAGCCAAUUAAACCCUAUUGAGGACUUUAAUUUGGGUUGUGUUGUUUUAUGCGAAUAAUAAUUAAAGUUUAUGAUGUAGUUGAAUGUGUGUUGAGUAUACAUCAAGGUCUUUGGUUCGUACAUGUGUGUUGGCUAUGUUGGAUGUUGUGAGGUUUGAGUGUUAUUUUGGGUGUUUAAAAACAAAAACCUAUGUUGUGUUGGUGAUAAGGUUUUGCACCAUUUGUAUUCUGCAAUAAAUAAUGCAAAAGAAUUUUAUAGCACUUUCGGUUAUUUGAAUUUAAUUUAGGAUCACAUCAAACUAACAGUGCAUAUGACUUUCGAUUGGUAAUUUUAACCAAAGCUGUCUACAAUUAUUUAAAUAGUUUGGUUGAGUUUUGUCUUGAAUUGAUUUGAGCAAUUUAAAGUAAGUGAAUCAUAUUUUGAAAGAGUCAUCAUGACAAAUUUGAUUUUUAAAACAAAACCCCCAGUGUGUAAAAUAAGCAUGAUGAUGAGGCGGGUGAUGAUGAGUUUUACCUUCCCCAUCCUUAUACCCUACUCUCAUAUACUUACCUGCCACUUUACCUAUAUCUAAUGAGGGUGAGAAGUCGAACCCCAUCACUGUCUCCGACGGGUUUAGGUAUCCCCGCGUCAUCUCCGUUGUGGAUAAUUUUUUUUAAUGAAAAAAGUGUUUUUCUACUUCAGGCGCAAUGUUGUAAUACAUUAUCCUACAAAGAGAUGAUGACGAUCGAUAACUACGUUGAUGGAGAAGUGAGAGACCGAGAUUGAGAAGUGAGAAUCAUCUGAGAGACUAAGACUCUGACUAUGUGAGGAGAAUAAAGAGAACUCUGAGAAGUGAGUGUCAUCUGAGAGACUAAGUUUUGAUUGUGUGAGUGAAAUGAUUUAGGGUUUGAGUUUCUAUUUAUAUAAAAUGGAUAAUAAAUUGAUUUUCUACAUGUGGGGCGGGUUUGAGUGUGGGUUCGGGGUGAAUACAUAUAUCCUCGUUACCUAUCCAGUAUCCAUGUUUUGAAUCAUGGAAAAUUCAAACUCAUACCCAAAUCCAAUAAAAGCAGAGAAAAUCCGUCAAAUUAGAUUUGUUUCAAAUGGGUACCCGCAGAUAUGCAUUUUGUUGUCUUACCUCAAAAUCACUAUUUAGUAUAGAAAAGUUAACUUGUAACUAAUGUACAACUUAAAGUUAAGAAGUUAAAUGCAAAAUUAUAUUUAGAAAUUGCGCAUUUCUUAUCCUAAAGUUUCUUCUUUUUCAAGGGUAAUUCCUUGAGAGUUUAAAAACUAAAUUUUAAUUCAAUACAAAAAUUUUGUUUUGAUUUCAUUUUUAGAUCGUUAAUUUGUGUCCUUGGUAUACAAAUUAACCUAACUCAUUGAGUAUGUGUUUGUUUUUUCUUAAAAAGAGUAUGUGUUUAGCUGUAAAAUAACAUUAAACAUGAGUCGUCCAACCUGACACUCUAAUUAGUAGCUUCUGAACCUCAUGAUUAAAUGGUAACUCACAUUGGCUGUGAACUAACUCUAUCCCAAAUUGGUGCUUAAUACGCUAAUUUAGGGAUAUUUGUGGUGCAGUUUGAAUUAGUUUUGAUGCAAAUAGUCAUCAUAUUUAAAAUAAAAAUCGCAUGCGGAAAAUAUAGGGUAAAAUAUAACGUUUAAUGGAAAAUAUAGCAUGAAUAUAUAUUAAAAAAUAAUAUUACAGAAUAAAAAUUAUCAAUUAUAUUCUAAACAUAGGAAGAAGUAAUACUAUACAAUAAAUUAAUGCAAUAUAUAAAAAAAAAUAAAAAAUAAAACCGAGAAGCUAUAUAUUAAUGCAAUACACACACUAAUAAAAUAAUAAAUAAGUAUUAAAAUUUACAAAACAACAUCCAAAAAAAAUCAAUUUUUUUGUUGUUGUUUUUUUUGGAUUAGUGUACGGUUUUAUUUUGGAUGCGUUUGAAUUUGAAUAACCACAUGCCUACUAGGCUAACUGUGUAUAUUAUUUAGGAAAUGUCAUAAAAGGUACUCCCUCAAUCUUAAAUAAUUAUCAUUAUUUAACUUUCAUCCAUAUCAAUGUACAAUUUUAACUAUUAAUAUUCUUAGUUAUUUAUUAAUAAAAGUUGUAAAAAAUUGAUAUUUUAAAAAUAUUCGUUGAGAUAAAUUGAACAAUAUUUUAUUUACUAACAUUUUAUUUACAAAUAUGAUCAAAGUAGAUUAUGUGAAUCGUACGUAUGGUCAAACUAUGACAAUAAUUUUGAAAUAGAUGGAGUAAUUUUGAAAAUAGAAAAGAGAAAUGUUAGCUAGUGCCUUCCGGUGCACUAGCUAUAUGAAAAACGUGUGGAGUAAUUUUGAAACCAAUAUAGAAAAUUGUGUUGAGAAGUAUGAAAAAGUUGUACGUUCAACUUUUUAAAAGUCAAAAAUUUAUUAUUUUUAUAAAAAAAAAAAUCUACUUCUAAUUUUUUUAACUAAUGCUCCAUAAUCAAUAGUUAGCAUGACUGGAUAAAAAAUGACAUAUCAUAUCAUACUAACAAAUGUUCUAAAGUUACAUUGUUAUGGACAUUUGUUAGCAUUUUUUACUUUUAUUAAAAAAAUAGGCAUUUCACACGGUUACUUUUGGCUUUAUCACAUUUUGCGUUCACAUAUCUUUGUAAAUAAAUAUGCCUUAUAUUGAUCAGGAGUAAAUUGGAACACAACUAGCAUCUCUCCAUUUCUCUCUAUCAUCAUGUGUAUAUCACAAUUUUUUGAAGAAGUUAAAGAAAUCAUGUUAAAAAUCAAAUAAAGCUCCUUUAACAUAUGGUGCGUCAAAGCAACCUAAUAAUCCAAACAGCUCACAUUACAACAUGUCGUAACAACCCAACAAAAAAUUAGAAAACUAUCUUUAAGCAAAACAAAGGAUUUUGCCUCGAAAACACGUGAUAUAAUUUUAACCACCAAUAAAUUUGUAGUUUAAUUUUUUCACUCAGAGAUUGAAGUUGAUUACUCUUCUGUUGAAAGAUCCUAACAUUUCUUUCUUUGAAAUGACGCAAAGCACUGAAAAGUCGAAAGAAGUUCUCCUUGGCGAAUCCCUUUUUUCAACUUAAACUCAUUAGUAAGGCUACCAUUCACAAGUACCGAAGUCGUUGCUGUUGAGACACAUUCUAAAAUCCAUUGACUCCAGCGCUAAGGGUAAUUCAGUUUGGUCAUCAAAUCUCCCAAAUACCUCCAAUGAACUGAGUCAUAGGUUUUUUUGAAAUCAACCUUAAAAAGAAUAAGUUCUUUCUUAGAUUUACACGCAUCACCCUUUAACUCAUUGGCUAUCAGAAUUGCAUCUAAAAUUUGUCUACCUUUUACAAAAGCAAACUAAGAUUCUGAAACACCAUUACUAACCACCUUCCUCAAUCUAUUAGCAAGAACUUUUGACAAAAUUUUAUACACCCUCCGUCCCUUAAUGUAGGCACCUAUUGCCUUUUCACAUUUCUUAAGAAAUGUUGUCAGUGUAAUUAAUGUGUUUGUUUUGUGUGUUAAUAAUUAUCCUUGGUUUGUAUGUAUUAAAUUUGACUUUUCAUAUUUCAAGACAAGUUAGUAGUAUUAAUUAGGGAUAUGUUUAGGAAAAAAUUAAUAAACGCAUCUAGUAAUUUGAAAUGGAAUUUAAAUUUAGAGAAAAAAAUAAAAUCAAACGGAAACUUAGAUAUAAGGACGGGGGAGUAUAAGCUACCAACCAAAGAAAUAGGUUGAAAAUAUGCCAACUUCUAAAGACUCUUAGCUUUGGGAAUCGAAGUAAUAAAAGUAUUUAUGUCCUUUGUUAACUUACCAUUGUGAUGAAACUCAACAAACAAAUUCUUUGAUAAAACCAAUAUUAAUCUCAUCUUGCUCAGGACUCUUAUAACUAUCACAAUCUCACACUCAUGCCUCUAUCUCUUCCAACAAAAAAGGUAUAAUAAGAUCAGCCACAUCCUUCAUACUAAUAGUUUUAAAAGAAAGAUCCCCUAACCCAGGUCUGGACUCCAUUGCAACUUUAAAAUUAGAUUGAAAAUGUUGAAAAGCCACACUCCUCGCCCCUUCCACACCCUUAAUCUGAACACCUUUAACAUUAAUAGAAAUAAUCACAGUUGACCCGUCUCCUAGAAGACACCACCCCAUGGAAAAAAAAAAAAAAAACGAAUUAGCACCACCCUUCUUUAACCAAGUCGAUCUAGAUUUUUGCCACUGAAUACUAAAAUGUAAUUUAUAUAAAGCCACAACAUCUGCUAAUAGAAAUCAAAGAGAGAAAUCAACAUAUCAAACAAAACGAAACCGAAGAACCAAUGCAAAUUGAACUAAAUAACCAACCUAAAUCAAACCACCAUUAAUCAAAUCAUCCUUAUCAAAUCCACCAAUCAAUCACAAUACUAACAAUUCCAUCGUGUGAAGAACAAUGAAUUCAAAUGGAGAAAAACUAAUGGAUAUCAAAAUAAAUCCAUAGAGAACAACCGUGACAAUUGCUUAACAAAUAGUAAUUCAACUAAAAAGAAAAGUCCUAAUCCAACAAAAACCAACACAUUAAUAUCCAAGUGCCAUCAGGACUCAACUGAAUCUUUGAAUCAAAAAAAUAAUAGAUAGCUAAAACAAUAAAUCUUAUAGUUUACAAACAAAUCAAAAUGCAAAACAGAUUCCUAAUUUUUUUUUUUUUUUUUUUGAAAAAUUAACAACGGAAUAGCCGUGAAUCAUAUAAGGAGGGUCAAAACAUGCUCUUGAUACCAUGUUAACAAUAUUAGGUUUAGAGCUCUUAUACAUGGAGCAUCGUAGGUGACAUACAAACUUUCACGGUGUGAUGUGAAAUUACUAAAAUACCCCUGUCACAUGGGGGUAUACAUGAGAGGUACAUAAAAAAGGAUGUCUAUCUAUCUUUUUUCAUAGAUUUAAUAAAAAAGGGAGAAUAACACAAAACAACUAGAAUUUUAUAAAAUGUAGAUGACUUAACAUUACAAAAGGUUAACAUAAACCUAAUGGAUUACUAACUUAAUAAUAGUUUAAGUUAAAAACUUUAUUAUCUAACCAAUUUUAUCUACUUCCAAUAUAUCACCUACGAAUUUUCUAUUUUUGAAUCCCGUCUACACUCUGAGUCAUGGAAUACUGCGAGACUAUUUCAUAUUGAUUUUCGUAACCCAAUUCAAGAUAACACAAAGAGGGUUGACCCAAUCACAAUCACCAAUAAAUAAAUGAGCUUUUGUCAAAAAAAGACGACCUGAUCAAUGAGCUAUUUUUCAACAAAAUAAAGUGAGAUUUACGAACAAGCCACAAGGUAUGUCCUACCAAAGUUCUAUAAAUACCAUUCCUCACCAUCUCAUAAACCCACAUCACAAGCGAAAUUAGUUGUAUUCAUAUUAUACAUUUCUCUUUUCAUUUUCUUCUUGUAUAUUGAUCCUUUUUAACUAUCUUGAUAUAUAUCAUGGGUGUUUUUACUUUCAACGAUGAACAUGUCUCAACCGUGGCUCCAGCUAAACUCUACAAAGCUCUUGCAAAAGAUGCUGAUGAAAUAGUCCCAAAGGUGAUUUCUGCUGCCCAAAGUGUUGAAAUUGUUGAAGGAAAUGGUGGACCUGGCACCAUCAAAAAGUUAUCCAUGUCUGAAGGUAAUUCAUUAAGAGCAUUUACUAUAUCCCUGUCAAAAAAAUACAACUUUAUUAAUUAGUAAUUCAAUAGACAUGUUAAGAAAUCAUAUACUCACUUUUAUUUUUGAAUUAGAUUUUGAGUGUUGAAGGAGACCAAUGAUAAUACAUAAACUGAGUCUAUAUAUAAAUAAUAAGCUUCAAGAAACAACUAAUUUCCAUGGAAAAAGAAUAUAUAAGAUACUUCAUGCAAGAUUCAAGAGAACCACUAAACUGGAGACAGGGCCGGCCUAAGGACCAAACAACCUAAACAAGGGUUUUAGGCUUCAAAACUUUUGGUAAAAAAAAAGGUCUUUAAAAAAUUAAUUUGGUCAUAAGUAUAUUAUAUGACAGAUAAAUUACAGACAUUUGAAUAGCUUAACUGAUCAAAAAGGUUUUAAUUACUCAUGGUCAUGAAUUCAAAUUUUGGUCUCCACGCAAUUGCUUUUAUAUAAAUAUUCUAUUAAAAAAAUAAUUUCAAAGGCCACAUUAAAUUUUUUGAUUUAAGCCUCUUAAUCUGUUGGGUCGGCCAUGGCAGGAGAUCCAACUAUUUGUAUAAACUACAGUCGUUGAAAUGUAACUAUUGUGAGAGUGUUGCUUGUUUUCAUUAUAUAUAGUAGUUAUAUAUUCAAAUGAAAUGAAUGAUCAAAUUAACACUAAAAUUUAGUUAAAAUCAUUUCAAAUAUCAAUAUAUUAUUGUCAAGAUUAAAUUAUGUAAUUUUAUAUGAUUUCAACCUAAUGGUAAAGAGUGGUUAUAAUAUAUCCAGAUUAAUUGUAAAUAGACUCGUAUUCAAUAAUUAUAGUAAUUAAGAUCAACUUUUUAAUCAGCCCAAUAAAAUGUGUGGUCUACAACUAUAAGAUUCACACAAUAUUAUAGUAAAAUAGACUUAACAAUCAAGUGAUUAAAUAUAUCCAGUUACAUUAGAAUUGAUCUAUGACAAAAACAAUUUUUAGUCGAACUUUACUUUCAUUUUGAGGGAACCAACUUAUAUAAAUUAUGAUGGUUGUAUUGUAGGUGGCAAAACCGACUAUGUGCUACACAAAUUAGAAGCAAUGGAUGAAGCAAACUUGGGAUACAACUAUAGCAUUGUAGGAGGAACAGGGUUGGAUGAAAGUUUAGAAAAAGUUGAAUUCGAGACAAGUAUUGUGGCUGGCUCUGAUGGUGGAUCCAUUGUUAAGAUUUCAGUGAAAUACCACACCAAAGGUGAUGCAACUCUAUCUGAUGCAGUGCGUGAUGAAACUAAGACCAAAGGAACUGGACUUAUCAAGGCCAUUGAGGGAUACGUUUUGGCAAACCCUAAUUAUUAAGUAAAAUGUAUACUUGGUUGUGUUGUGUCAUACCAAUAAUAAUUGAAGUUUAUGAUAUGGUUGUUUGAUUUAUACAUCACGAUUUCUAGCUUAUACAUGUGUGUGGGCUUUGUUGUUUAAUUACAAAAAUCUAUGUGUUGAUGUUGAGGUUUUGUACCAUCUAUAAUUCUGUAAUAAAUAAUGAAGAAUUUUCUAGCACUUUUCAUUCGGUAUUUUAACUUUAUAUGCCUUGACCAUUAUUGGUACACCAAUUUCCUUUCCUCUUGUUAUCCUUUUUUUUUCUUUCUUUGGAUUUAUUUUUGACUUGUAACACAUAAAAACUCAACUCAUCACUAGCAUGCUUUGAAUUUUACUAUGGCUGAGAAAAAGUAAAAACAUAAUGUGAGUAUGAUAGAGAAAGUUGUCAUAUAAUGGUUAUAUAAAUAUUAUUUCUCUAUCAUAAAUGUAAAGUGGAAGAUAUUGAAUUGAGAGUGAUGAAAUUUGUAUGGGUCUUGUUAACGAGUGCCCCCGAGGGCACUCUUUAAGCAUACUAAAUUAGAAAAUUAUUCUUUAAAAAAUUCAAAUAAUUCAAUUUCCAAUGCAUUGAAUACAUAACUUUUCAUAAAAAGUUACUAUUUAAGACCCUUAAAGAGUGUCCCCAGGGCACUAGUUAACAUUUCUGAAUUAUAGUAUUAAUUAAGAUGUAUAAUUGAAAAAAGAUAGUUAAUUAAUAUUAUAUUAAAAAGUGAAAUUGAUCAUUCAUUUUAGAUCUUUCUUCUUUUUUACAAAUAAAUUACUUAUUGUGGAACAUGAGGAGUAUCAUUUAUGCUCAAACUAAUCAUGCAAACUCUAAUAUAUAUAAACAAUUAUAAAUCAAAUAGACUUCAAUUUGAUAUUCCUUGCACUCGAAUAAUUUGGUAAGAGACAAAUUAAAUAAAGGAAUUUAAGUUUUUAUAAAUAAUCAACAUGUUAUAAGAUACAAUUGUUUGAAAAAGAAGAAUGGUGGUUUGCGGGUUAGGGUCUCUUAGUUAAUCAUCUAUUUCUGUUUCAUGUUUUUUUUUUUAAUAAUUUAUUUCUGUUUCAUGUUAUUUACCAACUUUAUAUUAGUUUUUUUGUAACUUUUUUAGUACAACUUGUGCUGAAAAGAUUUUGGUUAAUGAUAUUCUAUUUUGACAUGCUAAAAAAAAUGAUGAAUGUGAACCCGUUAAAUAAGUAAACGAUAUAGUACAUAGGUUGCAUAUUUUUAAACUUUGCCGUCUUUGAAUUGAAUUCUUGAUGCUUUUGUCCAAGUCAAAUUUCGAUUUUUAAUUCCUUUGCCCAUCUCUUCAUCGGCCAAAACUUCUGAGCUAAUAAGUCAUUGAUCUAUAUCUAUAUAUCUAUCUAAAGAAAAGUCAUUGAGUUGAAAAUAUCAUUUUGAAGAUAUGCUCUACAAUUUAUGGUUUUGAAAAAUAAUACACGCUCUCUAAUAUGGACAGCUUUGUUUUACACACUUAUUAAUCCUACUUAUUAAAGGUGCUACUAGCUAGUAACAGAUGGGAAACUUUUUGUUUCAAGUUUACCAAAUUUAUUUUUGGUGAUAACAUUUCUUGGAACAUAAAGAUGAGAAUUUUAUUCUAAAAUAUUUAGAAAAAAGAUGUUUGCUUAACAUUAUAGUAUUCUCAGAAACCAUAAAAAUAAGGAUUAUAAUAGAUAAUUACACAUGAAUCUAUUCCCAUGUUCAUGGGAACUUUAUUCCCACUAGUUUCUGUGAGAAAUUUUUUCCAUUCCCAUAAACAUUUUAUACCUGCGAAUAAAAUUUAAUAAAUUUGUAACAAACAUAGACAUGCAUAUGUCUAUUGUUUUAUUCCCAAAAAUCUACAUAGAUAACUUGAAAUAAACGUACCCUUAAAUUUAAUUAUUUACUGAAAAGAAAAAUGUGAUAAGGAAUCUGUUUCUACACCUCCAGGAAACACUAUCUCUUUUUCUUUUACGGAUCAAAGCUACAUUAUUUAGUUCCGUAAAUACAAUUUGAAUGGUAAAAAAUUUAAAGAUAUUUGAUUAAUUGGAGUGCGAGUUUGAAUAUAUAAUUCUUCACUUUAAAUGUUUUAAAGUAGAAUUGAUUUUUUUUGUAAAAUUAAUUCUACUCAAAGCUAAAUGUCGAGGCACGAAUAUUGUUCAAUUCACUUUUACUUAAAUAUAAUAAAACAUAUAUUAUUUUACAUUUAAUCAGAAUUAACUGUACAAAAUUAAUUCAUUUAGAAUCAAAUUUUUGUUGUGUAGCAUAAACAAACACACACUAAAUUACGUAGUUUGAUUUCUUUAUUAAAAAAAAGAAAGAGUAAAAUGAUUUCAUAUUUUGUCUUCAUUCCCAUUAGUUUGUUAUUGUCUUUGUAAUAAAAAAAUUAAAAAAAAUAUUUUUUUUCACUACGUAAAAACUUCACGUAGAUCUUUUUAUCAUUAAUUAAUUCGUGCGUGGUUAUGUACGACUGAGUCUCCUUAUUUUAGGAUAACGACUUCAAAUCUUUCAUACAUCAAUCUUCACCAAACUUUAACGGUGUGUUUGGAUGUAAGAUGAAAAUGAAAAGUGAUAAACAGAUGAGAAAGAGUGUGAGAAGAGAGAAAGCGAUAAGCAAUACAAUAGAUUUGUAGCAUUGAUUAGUAUAAAAAUGAGAAGAGAAAUAUAAAAAAAAAAAACAGAUAUUUUAUUCUUUGAAAAAGACAAAAACAACCUCCAUUAAAAAUAAAAUAGUAAAAUAUCGCUACUAUAUUAUGCUAUCUAAAGUUUGUCAUAAAAAUUAUCCUAUAUUAUAAUUUAUUAGUAUAAUAAUAAAUCUCAUGAAAUAAAGUGAAAAAUUAUUUACUUUUUCAUUGUGCUGUAAAAAAGUACUCCAUGUUAAUCAAUGUAUAAAGCAUUUAAAAGAAAGGGGCAUAAUUGGAAAUAUGCAAUAAAUAGGUUGCUCUAUUGGACUUUCAGGAUUGAAAAAACUGUCGGUACCAAAAAUUAAUUCGAACUUGAAUUAUUUCUUUUAACGCAACUUUAGAUGGCUCCUUGUGACUUUAAUUAAUAAUAUCAAACAUUUAUCUUGUAAAACAAGGUAGGACCUACCAAUAUGUCACUUAGUCAUGGAUUUCUAGACUAAUUCACAUUUUUAGAAUCGAAUUCAAGAUUGUCGACAUCACAAAGAGAAUUGACCCAAUAAAUAAAUAUCAAAAUACUUGAGCUAAAUAAAUAAGUGAGAUUUUGCAAACAAGGUAGGUCCUACCAAAGUUCUAUAAAUAGUAACCCUCAAUGUGUUAUAAACCGCAUCACAAACUAAAAUAGUAGCAUUAUUCAUAUUAUACAUUAAUUUCUCCUUUCAUUUACUUAUUGCAUAUUGAUCCUUUUUAUCUUGAUAUAUAUCAUGGGUUCUUUUGUUUUCAUUGAUGAACAUGUCUCAACUGUGGCUCCAGCUAAACUUUACAAAGCACUUGCAAAAGAUGCUGAUGAAAUCAUCCCAAAGGUGAUUCCAGCUGCUCAGAGUGUUGAAAUUGUUGAAGGAAAUGGAGGACCUGGCACCAUUAAGAAGUUAUCCAUGUCUGAAGGUAAUUGAUUAAGAUUAUAUAACAUUUACACAGUUGAAUUUUUGGGACUAGAGUUGAUUGUUGGUAUAUUGAAAUGAGAUUCAACAAUCAAGUAAUUAACGAUAUCCAGUUACGUUCAGAUUGAUCAAUGACUUAAACAAUUUUUAGUCAAACUUUAUUUAAAUUUGAGGGAACAAAACUUAUAUAAAUUAUGAUGGUUUAAUUGUAGGUGGUAAAACCGACUUUGUGCUACACAAAUUAGAAGCAAUGGAUGAGGCAAACUUGGGAUACAACUAUAGCAUAGUAGGAGGAACAGGAUUGGAUGAAAGUUUAGAGAAAGUUGAAUUUGAGACAAAUAUUGUGGCUGGAUCUGAUGGUGGAUCCAUUGUUAAGAUUUCAGUGAAAUAUCACACCAAAGGUGAUGCAGUUCUAUCUGAAGCUGUACGUGAGGAAACUAAGGCCAAAGGAACUGGACUUAUCAAGGCCAUUGAGGGUUAUGUUUUGGCAAACCCUAAUUACUAGCAAAUUAAACAUUUGCUUUAAUAAUAAUUAAAGACUAUGAUAUGGUUGAAUGUGUGUUGGAUAUUUUGAGGUUUGAGUGUUGUUUUGAGUGUUUAAAAACAAAAACCAAUGUUGUGUUGGUGAUGAGGUUUUGCACCAUCUGUAUUAUGUAAUAAAUAAUGCAAAAGAAUUUUCUAGCACUUUCCGUUAUUUUUUUAGAGGAAUAGCACUUUACAUCAUUUUAAUUUAAUUUAGGAUAACAUCAAACUAAUAGUGCAUGUGGUUUUCAAUUGGUUGAAUUUUAAACUAACACUGUCUACGGUUCGAUUAUUUAAACAGUUUGGUUGAGUUUUGUCUUGAAUUGAUUUGAGCAAAUUAAAGCAAUUGAAUCAUGUUUUGAAAGUCUCAUCAUCUUGUCCAAUAUGAUUUUUAAAACAAAACCUACUGGUUUGAUAAACCGUUAAAAGGGAAUUAGAAUACAUCGAAACAACACAAAUUUUUAUGAUACUAAAAUUAAAGAAGAUAAAAUUGUGAAUACCUAUAAAAGUCUCACAACACCCUAAUUUCUUUUUUCUUUUUUAAAACACAUGUAAGUUAAUAACAUAAAAGGAUAAAAAUACCUAUAAAUACGACAAAUAAAGCAACUAAAAUACUAUAUGCAGAGCCUACCCAACAUUUUGGUAGGCCUAAAGUGAAUUUUUUAUUGAUGCUUUUUAAAGUAAAAUAUUAAACUUUGUUGAACCCAAGGUUUGAACCAAAGAUGCAGAGGAUUUGAGACCUCUUCUUGACGAACUAAAGUUAUGCAAGCAUUUAUAAUUAUUUUAUCAUAUUAUGUAUUUAUAUCUAAAGUUGAUAUGGUCAUUGCGUAUCCACGAGGAUUUGAGGCCUCUUUGUUGCUGCCUACCCACGAGGUUUAAUUUGCAAAAUCAUGGAGUCCAUUGUCUGUCACUUGUGUGGUUUGUAAUAAUGAUUUGAAAGAUCAAAUGCACAUGUUUAUGCACUGUAAUUUUGCUACUGAUUGUUGGAAAGAAGUAAAUCUUUGGGCAAGAUAAAGUCAUACAUAACGUCAAAUGAUAGUUUUUCAUCCAUUAUCUUUGAUAUUCUUGUAGCUAUUUAUUGAGUGUUUGGCAUGCACGUAAUGCUUGUUUAUGGGAGGAAAAACUUGUCGAUGCACAUACAUCUUGCGUCCUGGAAUUAGAUACAGUUCGAGAUUACGUGUGGUGUCAUCGUCUCAACGAUGUUGUGCAGUCUGCUACUCCAACUUAGUCCAAACUGCAGGCAGAUUGGAUCAAGUCUUACAUCGAUUGUGUUCUUUUUGAAGCUGAUGGAAAAUUUAGUGUUGGUAUCUGUUUUCGAGACCGCCUUAUCCAAGAACUAUUCCAUCCUAUAGCAAGAAGCUUAGAUAUUAUCUUAUAAAGCACAUUACAUAAUGAAAUUACCCUCCAUUCCUUCAUACUAGUUGGUUUUGUCACAUUUAGGAAUAAGGCAAAUAUUAUUAUCAUUCAAUUAAUGUGCUCGGAAAAUAACCUAUAUAUAACCACAUAUUCACAACUUCAAAAAUUUCAUCACUACAAAGAUUCCAAAACCUUGAAAAAAAAAACCCGGAUUAAAACCAUGAAGACUCGAUGACUUAUUUGAAUGCAUUUGAAAUAACGUAAGUUUCAGCUCCUCUUUAGUAAACGGUGCUAAAAUAAGGUUGUUGUUUGCAUCGGUUAUCUUUGGUUGAAGGUGACAACUAGGCUACCCAUGAAAGAAUGAUGGGUAAUUUACCCUAACCAAUACACAUUAGCCACAUAAGCACAUAUUCAUGAACUAUCUUGACCCCACAAAUAAAUUGUUCAUUUUCAUUGGUUGGUAGGUAAAUUACCCACCAUUCUUCAAAAGUAAUUUAAAAAGAACCUUGAUGGAAUCAUACCAAUCAUUAAAAUUUUCAAUAUCACAAUCAUUUACCGCCUCCUUAAACCCAAGAUAAAUCCAAUUAGGAUGGGAAUGUUGGCCUCGAAUAUUCUCUUGAGAUAAAAUAUCAUUAAAAUUUCUUAUGAUACACCAAGGCAUAUGAGACAUGUCCCUCAACUCUCUGAGACAUGUCCCUCAACUCUCUGAGCAUAUUCCAAGAAUCUCUUCUUCGACCUCCUUUUGGGUAACCAUAAAAAUCAGUUAACAUUGAUUCUCUUUUUAUUGUAUCUUCCACAAUUAAAUUGAUAUUGUUUAUAGAGUAAUUAAGAAUUUUACACAAGCUAUUAACUUUUCAUAUCACUGCUAUCUAGGGGUGGGAUUAGGUCGAGUCGGGCCAAACUUUACUUAAAUAGGUCAGAUCUAAUUUAAAAAGUUAAAGCCUAGGCGACCUAUUAGCUUGUCAAAGACUUUAUUUUAAGUCUAAGCUUUUUAAAAGUCUAGCCUAAUAUUGUCAAAAAGCCUAGUUUAUGCUAAGAAUUUUAAAUAGAAUAUCUGUUCUAUUUAUAAAAAGGCUAAUAAACAUAUAUUUCUUAGAAGAUUAAUAUGCCAAUAAAAUUUUGUAGAGCUUGUAUAUCAAUUUUGUUUCACUCUGUAAGCAUAUAUUGCAUGUAAAUCGAAUAUAAUUUGGUAAGGCCUCUACAUCAAUUGUAUAGAGGCUAUUAGCCAUAUAUGGGCCGAAAAUUUAUUAAUACAAUGGAGGAGUAUAUAUAUAUAUAUAUAUAUAUAUAUAUAUAUAUAUAUAUGAGGAGGGAUAUUUUGACUUCAAGAGUAAGUUUAUAGACUUAUUCCAAAUCUCCACCUUUCAUCUUAUUUUAAUCUAAUAGUUUAAAUGUGAGUUUUAAUUGUUAAUCAUGUGACCAUUUUUUUGGAUCUCAUUCUUAUAAAUAUUUUCUCCAUUUAAUCUCCCUUAUUAAUUAAUGUAAUAAAUACCUCCCCAAUUUUAUUUUAUUUUUUGGCGCACCUUUGCCAAUUCAAAAAGUGUUUUUUAAUCUUUUUCUCCAACAUUAGAGCAAGGUUGCAGUUUGAAAUAUAAAUUAAAAUGUAAGCUUUCCACUCUCACCUCUUGAACCUAUGGAUGAGAAGAUUUUUUUUAUUGAAAUGUAAAUCAAAAAGGAAAGAAAUGAGAUUGAGAGCCAUCAUGUAGAAUUGAGGUUGGAGUGAAACGGAGAGCCAUCACUCUAUAUCCUAUUGUGAUUUAUAUGAUUAUCCAAUCAAAGAAAUUGGGUGUAUACAAAAUCAAUUGGGUGAGUUAGGGUACAAAGCAUUAGGAGGAAAUUUUGUUGUUUUCUGAGAGUUAAAAUAAAUAAAAAAGUAAUUAAGGGAUAAAUGAAAUUUGUUUUAUGAGAAUAAAAUAAAAAAACUUAAAAGUGUGUUUAUGAGAGAAAGGAAAUUUGAUUUAUGAGAAUUAAUUAAGGGAGAAUAAUUGGAGAAGGUAUUUAGAUCCACAAAGAUGGUCAUAUGAUUAACAAUUAAAACCCACAUUUAAGCCAUUAGAUUAAAAUAAGAUGAAAGGUGGAGAUUUGGAGUAAGUCUAUAAACUUACUCUUGGAGUCAAAAUAUCCUCUCUCUCUCUCUCUCUCUCUCUCUCUCUCUCUCUCUCUCUCUCUCUCUCUCUCUCUCUGUAUAUAUAUAUAUAUAUGAGAUAUGAGAUAGAAUCCGUUGACACUUUAUAUUGACACCAAAUCAUAUCCCUUGAUUUCAUUUGAUCCAAUAGCUCCUAUUAAUUCACUUAACCUUGUACCUAUGUGUGAUGCACUGAACCACACCGUCGUCUUCAUUCUCACGUUAUACGUACGCCGUCUGCUAUCUGCAGUUUUCGUUCAUCUCUUCUCCCCUUGCACACCUUCACAAAUGCUUCAUCUAUAUUAUGUGUUGCUCCUAUCGAAAUUAAAACCCACUAUUCAAUUAGUGGUGGAUAUGAGUUAAAACCUUGUACGCUAAUUCUUCAAAUGGAUCCUCUAAGAUUAAUUCCUCAAAUUUUUUGAUUAGAUUUAUGAAAUCAAUAAUAAUUGGAUGACGUUAGAAAACCGAUGGACAUUAUUUAUUGAUUUGCUUCAAUUUGUGCAAUUUUAGGUGAGAAAAAGAAAUUGCAUAUCAGAAUGCAUAAUAUAAAAUAAAAAAUUGUGGGUUUGGUAAAAUGAAAAACUAUGUAAAUUAAAAUGAAAACCAAGAGUUGUUUCCUUUGUUUGGGUAUGGACAAGGAAGUAGCCAAGAUACAAGAGACAACAUUUUUCCAUUGUUGUUCCUGUAUACUUUGUUCAGCAAGAUUGAAAAGGAACAAAAAGAAAAUAAGAGUGCACAUUACAGUGAAAAAGGCCUAUGUUAGUUGAUUUAGUAAAUAAUUAUAAGCCUGUUACAGUGAAAAAGGCCUAUGUAAGUUGAUUUACUUUUUUUAUUCUGAUCUAUUUAAAUUAAUGGUUUUUUUAAAAAGCUUGAAUCUGACUUAUUUACUAAACAAGCUAAACCGGUCUGGGUUUUAAGUAAGUCGAGUUAUAAGCCCCUAACAAACGGUCUGGCUUAUUUUAGGAUUUAGGGUUUACCCAAAUGAUCCCUCCACUUCUCCCUUCAACAUAUAUAGCACAACAAGAAUCAAAACCAAACCUAACUCGUAAGAAUUCUAUAGUCAUUGCUUUUGCCAACGUCUCGUACAAAUAAAGAAUAUCAAGAUUUUAUUUUUGGUUAAUAAAAAGUAGUAAUGCUAAAGGAAGAGACAACCCCAAAAAAAUUAGCUCUAAUAUUUAAUGUAAUACUACUAUGCAUGUAGUAGGAAUAAAUGGGAAACGUAUGCUCUUUUUUUUUUUUUUUGUUACCUGGGAAACGUAUGUUUGAUUGUUUAUUGAAUAGUAGAAAAUUGUUGUAAAGGAAUUCUUUUUUCGACGUUAUAAAGGACUCUCUUUAUGCAUCUCCAAUAAACACUAUCUAUACUUUGUAAAAAGAAUACAAAAAUAAAUGUGAGCAUUGAUAGGGAUAUGAUAGCAUCUAGGAAUCGGGUUCCACCUUAGUUUCUUCUCCUUUAUCCAUUACUAACAUAUGAUUUAUGGUCAAUUUUCAACCUCAAAGAGCAUUCCUUUAAUAAAUAGUUUCCCGUUUUUUUUUUUAUUAUUUAAAUAAUCGAUUUUCACAUCUAUUUAGUUUAUUUCUCUAAUUUUUUCAUCAUCUUAGUGCGACGUUAUUUUGUUUGUCGUCUUUGUGUGACAUUGUUUAUCUUUAUUGUCUUGUUUAGAUGUUUGUUUCAUUCAUAUUGUCAUAUCAAGUUUGAUGCAGUGCAUGUUCAAUCAAUGAUUUAAAAAUUGUCAACGUUGUUGUGAGUUUGUUCGUGGAUUCAUCAAUUUUGUUUUUAGCAAAUUCAUAUUGUAUCGGUGUACUCUAUCAAUUUGAAUGAAUAAUAUCAUUUAUUACUAAAAAAAAGUACCGGGUACAAACUUUAAAUUUUCCGUUUAGUUAUCUUAAAGUGAAUUUUUAGCCACUAAAUUAUUUUAUUAAAAAAAAUCACUAUAUAUAAUGAUUAAAAUUAUAAGCGUAAUUUCAGGAGUGAACAUAGACCUUUAUUCAAAAGGGAAUGAACAUAGACGUAUAAUUAAAGGAGAACGAUAUUUCAUUGUCAUUAAUUUGUUUAUUGUCACUACGUGAAUAUUUUCUAAUUAUUUCGUGGGUGACUGCGACUGAGUCUAUUCAACAAAAAACAAAAAUCUACCGACUAAGUCUUCUUAUAAUUCCAAGACAUCGACUUUGAAUUUUUGAUACAACAAUGACCCAAUCUCACCCAAUCUUAAGAGUACUAUCAUAAUUCAUACAAAAUAGGUCAUAUUUUUCGGUCCUUAAAUAGGUCAUAUUAUAUUUUUCGGUCCUUAAAAAAAAUUGAUAUUUGAUUUUUUAAAAUUAAAUUAACAAGGGUAAAAUUGAGAUAAAAAGUGAUAAACUGUAAGUUAUAAGAUAUUUGAAGCAGCUUAAGAAAAAUGGUAUAAGCUCGAAAAAGAAAGUUAUAACUCGUGAGAAAACUUGUUUGCUAAAAAAAUAAAAAAUAAACUCGUGAGAAAAAAAAUUGUUAACAGACAUGUUUUAUCUUAGUCAUAUGAGAUCAUAAAUUAUAAAUUAUUUGUUAUAAGUGACAUUAACCCAAGAACAAUUUCGUAAUAGUGUAUAUAAAAUAAAAUCAUUAAUUAAUAUGGUAAUUCAGAAUAUUUUGAUUGAUUUUGGAUGUAAAACUGUUUUGGACCGUUAAUCUACCACUAUUAAACUCUUAAUACAUUACCAAUUUUUGUUAAUAUGCAAUUGCAUAAUAAAUUAUUUGUGAUUAAGAUAUCAACUGUUAAUUUCUCAAUUUACUGAUUACACGCUUUAGAAGAAUAAGUAAAUUAGCAUUUUAGUUCUCGGAAUAAUAAAGGACAAAUUAUUUAUUCACUAAAAUUUGUGAAAUAAUAAUUAAUCAAUUAAAUAAAAUAAUACUAUCAAUUAAUUCAGUUCCUCAUAUCUUAUGAAAAAUAAAUCAUCAACAUUUAUAAAAGAUUUGCAUGUUGACUUUUUUAAUUUGUAAAGUUCUAACAUAAAUAACGUGGUAAUUUGAAGUUCGAUAUAAUGUUAAGUGAAGUAUGAUAAAUGAUUGUUUUAAGUCAUGAUUCGAACUCAGUUUUUUUCGAACAAUUUAUCUUAAACAAAAGUUAAGUGAGCACUUCAGCUCAACCGCUCGACUGAAUUAUAUAUUAAUUUAUGUUUUUUAUACAAAAAUAAACGAUAUUCAUUCAUUUAAAUUGAUAUAGUACAUCGAUACAAUACGAAUUUAAAAUUGCUAAAAACAAAAAAGGAUGAAUCUACGAACAAACUCAGAGUAUCCAUGUUAAUAGCAUAAAACGGUAGAGUAUAUAUGCCUACAAAUAUACCUAUCAAGCCACUGAAAUACUCAUGUUUCGGAUCUGCAACGUUGACAAUGCAAAAGUCAUUGAUUGAAUCUGCAUUUGAUCAAAGCUAAUCUUUCAACCUGAAUCAAAUAAAAACCGCAUUAAGACAUGAAUAAAAAACACACCGCACAAAGACGAGAAAUCAAAAUAAAUAAAGUUGUGCUAGAUGACGAAUUCACAAAACCAACAAAAGAAAGGUGAAAAUAUGUGAAAAAUUACUUAUUUAACUAAAAGAGAAAGAGAAACAAUUCAUAGGGGUGAUUUCGUGUCAAAAUUGAUAGUAAGUCACACCUUUUUGGUAGAUGAAGAAGAAAAAAAGUCGUGUGACUAGGGUUUAGGAAAGGAAAAGUGAGAGAAUUUCUACCUUAUAUAAUUGAUUUUUUUAUGUUUUAAAACCAAGACAUUUUCUACACGCGACUACGACAACUAAUCUCUCAAUGUAAACGAAAUUCAUCGUAGAAGUUGUCAUCUCUCAAUAUAUAUUAUCUAUACACAAUGAUCAACAGAUUAAAAUAAUGACCACAUAGCCGAGAGACUCAAAUAAAUAUUCAUCAAUUUUGUUACACCAUAUUGGUAUAUAACUUUCAACUAUGUGGUGUUAAAGUCUGAAAACACGACUAAUUAACUAAUACACUUUAAAGUACUAAAGUAUUACUAUUUAACGAAUUUUAGGACCCACCAUGACACCAUUGCAAUAAUUUCAAUUGGAAAAAUAUUUAGCACCGUUUGGUCAGACUUUUUUCGGUCUAAAAAUUAUUUUAAAACAAAGUUAAAAUAAAACUCUUUAAGGAAAAAGUUAAAGUUGUUUGGUUUCUUUAUUUUUUUUAGUUUUUUUUUGAACAAGCCAAAAUGGAAUUAUAUAAACAAAAAGGCAGUCCCAAACGCACAAGGUGUGCCCUAGCGACUACCUCCAAAACCAAGAGUUACAAGAAUUACAACCAAGCCACAACAGAAAGACAUUAGCCAAUACCCAAACAAACAAGAGGGUUUGACCACCACUGCUGAGUUCCAAAAACAAAGGUAGCUUUUUUAACUUUAAGUCAACCUAAAGACAACAUCUUAAUCUUAUCUAAUAAACAAGGGAUGGGGGUAACAACAUGAUUAAACAGACGGUUAUUUCGUUCAUUCCACACAACCCAGGCACAAAGAAGCCAAAUAAGUUGCAUAAAAGAACGUCUAGCAACACCACCACCUGUCAAAUGAGUAAACUGUAAAAAAUGAUCGGAAAUAUUAUAUGUGUCCACCCCAUAGCAACCAAUCCAAUCACGCACCAGAUGCCACAGAGAGCCAAAAGUAUUACACAAUAAAAAGAGAUGUUGCACCGAUUCAGGAUGACCACAACCAGUAACACACGAGGACAUGUCAUGCGACAACACCCGUCUAGCAAUCAAAUUAGUCCUUGUUGGUAAACGAUCUCGGAUGAGCCUCCACACGAAAACGAACACCUUCAAGGGAACCUGUUUGUGCCACACCAAAUCCAAAGCAUAGUCCGCUACCUGAGGAACCUGAGAAGUCAACAAACUAUAUGCACCAUGAACAGUGUAACCACCAGAUGGGUCCGGAAGCCACACCCAGCUAUCUGAAACAUUAGGAUCCAAAGAAACAUCAAGAAUUAAAGCCCUGCACUCCUCUAGCAAGUCCUCAUCCCACUGCCAUAACCUACGUCUCCACCUCCACACAUCCCCCCACUGCUCCGAAUCAACAGAAAGCAAGUCCGCCACGAAUAUAGACUUAUUCUCUGUUAACUCAAACAACCGACUAAACCUCACACGAAGAGGAGCCUCCCCUAUCCACCUAUCGAACCAAAAUGAUGUAUCUGCCCCAUCACCAACUCUCCUCAACACCUGAUCCUCAAACCAGCCGCUACCACCAACACCAACCCUACCCCUAAGACGACUCACCUCCGACCACCAACAAGAAACUCUCCGGCCCCCAACCUGCCACCUAAUUCGCCAUAUCUGGCAACUAAAACCCUAUACCACAAAUCACCUCUAUCAACCAACAACCUCCAACACCAUUUCCCUAACAAUGCUAUAUUAAACUCCUUCAAUCUCCUCACCCCCAAACCGCCACACUCCUUUUUUAAACAAACAGUUUGCCAACUUAACCAAGAUAUUUUCCUAUUAUCCUCACUCCCCCCACUGCUCCGAAUCAACAGAAAGCAAGUCCGCCACGAAUAUAGACUUAUUCUCUGUUAACUCAAACAACCGACUAAACCUCACACGAAGAGGAGCCUCCCCUAUCCACCUAUCGAACCAAAAUGAUGUAUCUGCCCCAUCACCAACUCUCCUCAACACCUGAUCCUCAAACCAGCCGCUACCACCAACACCAACCCUACCCCUAAGACGACUCACCUCCGACCACCAACAAGAAACUCUCCGGCCCCCAACCUGCCACCUAAUUCGCCAUAUCUGGCAACUAAAACCCUAUACCACAAAUCACCUCUAUCAACCAACAACCUCCAACACCAUUUCCCUAACAAUGCUAUAUUAAACUCCUUCAAUCUCCUCACCCCCAAACCGCCACACUCCUUUUUUAAACAAACAGUUUGCCAACUUAACCAAGAUAUUUUCCUAUUAUCCUCACUCCCCCCCCCCCCCCAAAAAAAAAAAAAAUUAAUAAACAAAGAUUCAAUAGAGGAGAUUAUACCUGAUGGAGCUUUGAAGAAGGAAAGUGCAUAGACAGGCAAAGAGGUCAGGACAGAUUUGAGAAGAACCAAGCGACCACCAAAAGAUAGAAACCGACUAUUCCAACCUGACAGUCUAGAUUUAAUACGAUUCACAAUAGGUUCCCAGAAACACAAUCUUCGAGGAUUACCACCAAUAGGCAUACCCAGAUACAAGAAAGGAACGUUACCUACUUUACAACUCAACACGGAAGCAGCCUCAUGUAACCAAGACGACGCAAUAUUCACCCCAACAAGCAUACUCUUAUGAAAAUUCACUUUCAACCCCGACAUAGCCUCGAACAACACAAGGGCCGCCCUUAAAGCACGAACAUUAGCCCAACUUUUAGUUCCUAACAACAAAGUGUCAUCAGCAAAUUGGAGGUGAGAUACAACAACCGGAUUAACCACCCCAAUGCUAUAGCCAGAGAACAGUUGAGCCUCAACCAAAGAUUUCAUCACAACAUUAAGACCCUCCGCGGCCAACAAAAACAAAAAAGGAGACAAAGGGUCACCUUGUCUUAACCCUCUCAUCAACGGGAAUUCAUCAGUUGGACUUCCAUUAACUAAGACAGACGCUGUGGCAGUGCUAACACACUCUUUGAUCCAAUUCCUCCAACGGGAAUUCAUCAGUUGGAAUUCAUCUUUAAAAGUUGUUUGACAAAAUAUUGUAUACCAAAUUUUGUUAUAAGAAUAUCAUAUUUUUGGUGUCAUUUAAAAAGAUAAGAAUUUAUAUUAUAUGAUAUUAUAUUUGUUACAUUGUUGGUGUCAUUGAAAAAGAUAUGUUUAGUUUUUUAAUAAGAAAAAGAUAUGCAUAGUUUGUUACAACAUAAAUGUGUAAAGUAUAUAUAAGUAUAAUUUUUUAGGUAUCUAUACUAGUACUUUUAAUUAAAAUCAAAAUUUUAUAAAAAUAAUAAUUGUACGCAUUGCGCAACACUGAAAAAAUUAUACCCAUUAGCAUAACAAAAAAAAACAGACAUACAGACAUAAAAUAUUACUCUAAACGCUAAUGUGUGUGUGUAUAUUUGUGAGGUUGAAAAAAGGGAAUAAAAAUAUUUGGUGUCAUUCAAUGACAGCAUGAAUAAAAAUAUUUGUGAGGUUGUGAUAAUUAAACGAUAUUAAAAUUAAAUAUAUAAGUGAUAAAAAGAUAAUAAAACUCCUUCAAAAAUAGAUAAUUAAAUUGAUCCUCCUUUAAAAAAAAAUUAUAUGGACCGGUUCAAAAAAAAUUAAAUUGAAGAAAAAACAAAUUGAAAUAUAAUAUUAAAAAAUAAAAUAUAAGGUUGCUGCGUGAGUUGAAGAGGAGUGCUUGUGAAAUAAAUUACAAAGAAGUAGUUUUUUGAAGUAGCAUUCAACAACUUUUGGUUAAAGCUCAUUCCAUUCAAAUUUUAUGCAUUCUAAAAAAAGUACUUUUUUUCGAAGGUAUUUUAUUGAUAUUGUGUUUGGCGUAGCUUCUCCUUAAAAAUGUAGAAAAGUUGAAGAAAAAAAAAAAGUCGGGUCAAACAGUACUUUAAUAUACUCAAUUAAAGUUACUAAUGUACUGGCAAGUAACUUUUAGAGGAAGAUUUUCUUUUUUUAAGGAUUUUAGAGGAAGCUUAGCAACACACUUUUAAUAUACAUUUUUCUAGAAUUUUUUUUUAUUGAUUAAAAUUCAUAUAUAUCCUCAUAAAUCAUGUGGAUUUCAUAUAAUAUAAUAGAAGACACAAAUUUUAACCGACAAAUAGAGUGUAAAAAAUAGAGAAAUGAUAUUUGUACAACCACUUUGUGAUAAUUUUUGGACAAUUUUCUCUCUCAUACUCAUAUUAUAUUCUUACUCUCUUCUUUUUUCUCUCUCCAUUAUUUUUGACCAAUGAAAAGAGAGAAAAGAAAGAUUGUCAAAUAGGUUGUACCAAAUGGUUGUUCAAAUAGGUUGUACCAAAUGGUUGUUCAAAUAUCAUUUCUUUAAAAAAUAUAAGCAUUAAAGAGUUUGUUGUUAACAUUAUUUUAAUUUUUUUUAUGUAAUCCACACUUUGAGUCAUGGAGUGCUUUACUAAUUCAUUUUGUUUUUCGCAACCCAAUUCAAGAUUGUCUAGAAACAAAGAGGACUGACCUAAUAAAUAAAUAUUAAAAUAAGCUACUUGAGCUAAACAAUGAGAUUUCCAAACAAGGUAGGUCCUACUCAAGUUCUAUAAAUAGCAUCCCUCACCAUGUCAUAAACCGCAUCACAAGUUAUAUACUAGUUGUAUUUUUAUUAUAUACUUCUCCUUUCAUUUUCUUCUUGCAUAUUAAUCUUCUUUAUCUUAAUAUAUAUCAUGGGUGUUUUUACUUUCAAUGAUGAACAUGUCUCAACCGUGGCUCCAGCUAAACUAUACAAAGCUCUUGCAAAAGAUGCUGAUGAAAUCGUCCCAAAGGUGAUUUCUGCUGCCCAAAGUGUUGAAAUUGUUGAAGGAAAUGGAGGACCAGGAACCAUUAAGAAGUUAUCCAUUGUUGAAGGUAAUUAAGAGCAUAUACGACGUACAAAUAUAUAAUACUUAAGAUCAAAUGAUACAUAGUGUUCACGUAAAAUUGUUUUACACCGACAACCAAUCAAAUUUAUCAGUACAACAAAGAAUUGUGUAACUACCUUUUAUUUAAAAAUUGAUAAAUAUGAUGUGACAAAUUGAAGAGUUGUGAUUGAUUAAAUGAUUCACAAAUAACUAAGUUAAAUUCAUUAUACCAAAUAAAAGUAAGUUAAAUUCAUUAUACCCAAAAAAAAAAAGUAAGUUAAAUUCAAGUGUAUCAAAAAAAGUCAUUCAAAUCUAUUUGGAUAGUUAUGGUAGUAGCCAUUUAUGUUAUACUUUUAUUUUUAAAAUAG